UAGGGAAUCUUCCGCAAUGGACGAAAGUCUGACGGAGCAACGCCGCGUGAGUGAAGAAGGUUUUCGGAUCGUAAAACUCUGUUGUUAGAGAAGAACAAGUAGGAGAGUAACUGCUCCUACCUUGACGGUAUCUAACCAGAAAGCCACGGCUAACUACGUGCCAGCAGCCGCGGUAAUACGUAGGUGGCAAGCGUUGUCCGGAUUUAUUGGGCGUAAAGCGAGCGCAGGCGGUUUCUUAAGUCUGAUGUGAAAGCCCCCAGCUUAACUGGGGAGGGUCAUUGGAAACUGGGAGACUUGAGUGCAGAAGAGGAGAGUGGAAUUCCAUGUGUAGCGGUGAAAUGCGUAGAUAUAUGGAGGAACACCAGUGGCGAAGGCGACUCUCUGGUCUGUAACUGACGCUGAGGCUCGAAAGCGUGGGGAGCAAACA
rnacentral:rRNA from 1 species